rnacentral:rRNA from 1 species
CCNUGCCGCGUGAGUGAANAAGGCCCUCGGGUUGUAAAGCUCUUUUGUUGGGGAAGAAAAGCAGUUGGUUAAUACCCGAUUGUUCUGACGGUACCCAAAGAAUAAGCACCGGCUAACUUCGUGCCAGCAGGCGCGGU